rnacentral:rRNA from 1 species
UACGAAGGGGGCUAGCGUUGCUCGGAAUCACUGGGCGUAAAGCGCACGUAGGCGGAUUGUUAAGUCAGGGGUGAAAUCCCGGGGCUCAACCUCGGAACUGCCUUUGAUACAGCACGUCUCGAGUCCGGAAGAGGUGGGUGGAAUUCCUAGUGUAGAGGUGAAAUUCGUAGAUAUUAGGAAGAACACCGGUGGCGAAGGCGGCCCACUGGUCCGGUACUGACGCUGAGGUGCGAAAGCGUGGGGAGCAAACAGG